UACAGAGGGGGCAAGCGUUGUCCGGAAUUACUGGGCGUACAGCGCGCGCAGGCGGUUGCCGACGUGCCGUGUGACAAACGGGGGCUCAACCCCCGAGGGCCACGGUAAACGGGGCGACUGGAGGAAGGGAGAGGGAUGUGGAAUGCCCGGUGGAGCGGUGAAAUGCGUAGAUAUCGCUUGGAACGCCGAAGGUGAAAACAGGUUGCUGGGGUUGUGCCGACGCUGAGACACGAAAGCCAGGGGAGCGAACGGG
rnacentral:rRNA from 1 species